rnacentral:rRNA from 1 species
GUCUGGCCUGCUCACUGAUAUUUUGAAGAGCCGCGGUAUUUUGACCGUGCAAAGGUAGCAUAAUCAUUAGUCUCUUAAUUAGAGGCUGGAAUGAAUGGUUUGACGAGAAAUUAACUGUCUCUUGAUAAAUUUUUGAAUUUAACUUUUGAGUCAAAAGGCUUAAAUUUUUUUUUAGGACGAGAAGACCCUAUAGAUCUUGACAUUUUGUUUAUAUUUAGUUUUAAGUUUGUUUUUCUAUAUUUAAUGAUAAUGUUUUGUUGGGGUGACGUGAAGAAUCAAUAAACUCUUCAUUAAUUUAAUCAUUGAUUUAUGUUAAUUUUGAUCCAUAAUUUAUGAUCAUAAGAUUAAGUUACCUUAGGGAUAACAGCGUAAUUUCUUUUGAGAGCUCAUAUCGACAAAGUAGAUUGCGACCUCGAUGUUGGAUUAAGAAAAAUUAUGGGUGCAGUARCCCAAUAAUUAGGUCUGUUCGACCUUUAAAUUCUU